rnacentral:tRNA from 9 species
GCACUCGUAGCUCAACUGGAUAGAGUACUCGGCUACGAACCGAGCGGUUGGAGGUUCGAGUCCUCCCGAGUGCGCCA